AUUAAGAGCAUUGAUGGAGCCUCAAAUAGAAUUGGUGGGUGCUUUGCAGUGCUAAAUUAAAUAACAACAGAAAAAUUUAUGCUGUAGAUGUCAUACCCCAUGCAAGCAAACUGAAUUCCCACAGCCUCAUUUCAGGGCAUAAAAGUCUGGUGAACAGAAAACAGCAAGAUGGCAACUAUUGGACAGAGUUCACAUCCACUUGCAGAGAUGAUGCUGGGGCACACCUUUGUUCUCAGCUUGCCCCAGCUGUCUUUAACAAAAUGUGUUAAUGUGUCCUUCUCCACCGGCCAAAUGGAAGGAGGGCAACCAGAAGAGGUGUAGAACUCAACCUAUCCAUGAGCUCAGGUUUCUGCUGCUCUUUCAAUGCUGCCCUGAAAUUACUGAACAGAGGUACCGCAGUAGCAAUUUACACAAAGGUGGAAGUGCAAGUUAUAGUCCGCAUUUUCUUUCAUUUUCACUCAUUGUUCAAUAAUUCAUAUAUACUCAAGAUUUCAAAUUACUUUCAAGUUCUAUGACUAAUAGGGUGUGGAGCUUUAAUUUACUUACAUGAAUGUUUCAUUAUUUCCUUUCUACUGAAUUUGGAGAAAGUAUCACAAAACCUCAAUUCCUUAGGAUUGUAACAGGAAUCCAGUGAUUGAGCUGAAAUUUGACUCUAAUUUAACAUGUAAAUUCUGACCACCAACAAAAGGGAAAAGAUCACUGUGUGAAGUGAAGUUGUAGUUUCACUUCAUCAUUACCUUCCAUUUACCAGGAGUGCUUCUGAUGCAUUUGGAGAAGGUCCCAGUGCAAAGAAGAGAAAAAUAGGGUGUGUGAAACAUCAAUUAUUAAAGUAUAAUAUUCAUUACAAUGGAUGUAGUCACUAGGAAUGGCUAAUGGGCUUAGAGAGACAUGUUGGUCUUGAUUUACAGAUGUGAACUGAUGUACUGAUAUUUAGACAGAAUAAGUACUGGGUAUAUAAGGGGUGGCAUUAAGAAAGCACCCACCUAGACUCAAUAAAAAUGAAAAAAAAGA